GGAGAGGUGGCAGAGCGGUUGAAUGCGGCGGUCUUGAAAACCGUUAUGGGCUUACGCUCAUCGGGGGUUCGAAUCCCUCCCUCUCCGCCA
rnacentral:tRNA from 1 species